GACGAACGCUGGCGGCGUGCCUAACACAUGCAAGUCGUGCGAGAAAGUUCCUUCGGGAGCGAGUAAAAGCGGCGCACGGGUGAGUAACACGUAGGUAACCUGCCCCCCAGUCUGGAACAACUAGAGGAAACUCUAGCUAAUGCCGGAUGAGACCACGAUCCCUUCGGGGGUUGCGGCCAAAGAUGGCCUCUACUUGUAAGCUAUCGCUGAGGGAUGGGCCUGCGGGCCAUUAGCUUGUUGGUGAGGUAACGGCUCACCAAGGCUGUGAUGGCUAGCUGGUCUGAGAGGAUGACCAGCCACACUGGGACUGAGACACGGCCCAGACUCCUACGGGAGGCAGCAGUGGGGAAUAUUGCGCAAUGGGCGAAAGCCUGACGCAGCGAGCCGCGUGGGUGAUGAAGGCCU
rnacentral:rRNA from 1 species